rnacentral:rRNA from 1 species
GAUGAACGCUGGCGGCGUGCCUAAUACAUGCAAGUCGAGCGAACAGACGAGGAGCUUGCUCCUCUGACGUUAGCGGCGGACGGGUGAGUAACACGUGGAUAACCUACCUAUAAGACUGGGAUAACUUCGGGAAACCGGCGCUAAUACCGGAUAAUAUAUUGAACAGCAUGGUUCAAUAGUGAAUGACGGUUUUGCUGUCACUUAUAGAUGGAUCCGCGCCGCAUUAGCUAGUUGGUAAGGUAACGGCUUACCAAGGCAACGAUGCGUAGCCGACCUGAGAGGGUGAUCGGCCACACUGGAACUGAGACACGGUCCAGACUCCUACGGGAGGCAGCAGUAGGGAAUCUUCCGCAAUGGGCGAAAGCCUGACGGAGCAACGCCGCGUGAGUGAUGAAGGUCUUCGGAUCGUAAAACUCUGUUAUUAGGGAAGAACAAAUGUGUAAGUAACUAUGCACGUCUUGACGGUACCUAAUCAGAAAGCCACGGCUAACUACGUG